CCUAGAACAAUACACAGUAAAGAAAUAUGAGAAUCAACCACAAGCAUUCAGUUACAAAACCUCCACAUACACAACCUCCUCAUGUCCGUUGAACAGCUAGCAGCCUGUGCACCUGCCACAUAUUUAAUACUAAGCAGAUGCCACCACAUCACAGGGGCAGAGACGAGGUCAGAGGUCAGGGGUCAAUUCAAAAGCGAGCACUUCUCAACAUCAUAACAACUUGUGAUGCUGUUUUCUAGACUAACCACGAUGAUCCUCUGGUUCCUGUGCGUCGUGGUGAACUCUGCUGUGACUGCAGGUUCCUCUCUCAGUGACCAAGUCCACCAGAGUCCACGUGACAUCUACAGGGAGACGGGACAAGAAGCCAGCAUCAGCUGUUCACACAGCAUCGACCGCAUCCUCUGGUACAAAUAUUCAGAGAACAAAAGGUUCCAAUUCCUGGGGUACAUGUAUAAAAACAACAAGAACCCAGAGACGGGAGUGGAGGUGGAGAUGGACGGGAGCGCGGACAAAGACAAGGAGAGCACGUUAACCAUCAGAGGCCUGAAGCGCAGCAGCAGAGACGUUUACUUCUGUGCUGCCAGGCACACGCCUGCUCCUCUGUACAAGAACCUCUCAUCAGACAGCGAACGGUGACUUCAUGCUUAUUGAUGCAAGCUCAUUCAUAAAGGAGGAGGGGCUGAUGAAGGCCAGAGCUGCAGCUUUAGCCUCAACACGUGGGUCAGAUGCCACUGAUUUGACAUCAUGCGACGUCACUGCAGCUCAGAAUAAAAGCUCAUGAUUGGUUGAUCAGAUCAAAGCUUAUACUGUAAUAAUUUCCACGCCUUC